rnacentral:rRNA from 1 species
CCUCAAAUCAGGUGGGACUACCCGCUGAACUUAAGCAUAUCAAUAAGCGGAGGAAAAGAAACUAACUAGGAUUCCCUUAGUAACGGCGAGUGAGGAGGGACUAGCCCAAAUUUGUAAUCUGGCUCUUUCAGAGUCCGAGUUGUAAUCUCGAGAACAGUUUUCCGUGUUGGACCUUGUAUAAGUCUGUUGGAAUAUAGCUUCGUAGAGGGUGAGAAUCCCGUACAUAACAAGGACUACCAAUGCUUUGUGAUACUGUCUCUAAGAGUCGAGUUGUUUGGGAAUGCAGCUCAAAUUGGGUGGUAAAUUCCAUCUAAGGCUAAUAUUGGCGAGAGACCGAUAGCGAACAAGUACCGUGAGGGAAAGAUGAAAAGCACUUUGGAAAGAGAGUUAACAGUACGUGAAAUUGUUAAAAGGGAAACGAUUGAAGUCAGUCUUGUAGCUUUUCGUUCAACCGCAAGGUGUAUUCGGAUUGCAACAGGCCAGCAUCAAUUUUUGGUGUCGGAUAAGGGUAUUGGAAACGUAGCAAUCUCGGUUGUGUUAUAGUCCUUUACUUGAUACGAUGCUAGGGAUUGAGGAACGCAGUGAGCCUUUUGGCGGGUCUUUGGACCUUCUCACUUGGAUGCUG